rnacentral:rRNA from 1 species
UUUAGCGGCCGCGAAUUCGCCCUUAGAGUUUGAUCAUGGCUCAGGAUGAACGCUGGCGGCGUGCCUAAUACAUGCAAGUCGAACGAAGAUGUUCUUGUGUUCGCAUGAGAGCUCUUAGUGGCGGACGGGUGAGUAACGCGUUGGUGACCUGCCCUAAAGAAGGGAACAACCUCGGGAAACUGAGGCUAAUACCCUAUGUGCUUCAAGAGAUUAGAUCCUUUUGAAGUAAAGGUUCUGUGGACGAAAGGCCACGGCAUCGCUUUAGGAGGGGCCUGCGUCCCAUCAGCUAGUUGGUAGGGUAAUGGCCUACCAAGGCGAUGACGGGUAGGGGACCUGAGAGGGUGACCCCCCACACUAGCACUGAAACACGGGCUAGACACCUACGGGUGGCAGCAGUAGGGAAUCUUGCACAAUAGACGAAAGUCUGAUGCAGCAACGCCGCGUGUGCGAUGAAGGCCUUCGGGUUGUAAAGCACUUUUCUGAGGGAUGAGAAAGGACAGUACCUCAGGAAUAAGUCUCGGCUAACUACGUGCCAGCAGCCGCGGUAAUACGUAGGAGGCGAGCGUUAUCCGGAUUUAUUGGGCGUAAAGCGCGUGCAGGUGGUUUGGUAAGUUGGGUAUGAAAUCUCCUGGCUUAACUAGGAGAGGUUGCUCAAAACUACCAGACUAGAGGACGGUAGAGGAAGGUGGAAUUCCCGGUGUAGUAGUGAAAUGCGUAGAUAUCGGGAGGAACACCAGUGGCGAAGGCGGCCUUCUGGGCCGUUCCUGACACUAAGACGCGAAAGCAUGGGUAGCAAACGGGAUUAGAAACCCCGGUAGUCCAUGCCGUAAACGAUGUGGACUUGAUGUCGGCGAUGUAAAAGUUGUCGGUGUCGUAGUUAACGCGAUAAGUCCACCGCCUGGGGAGUACGAUCGCAAGGUUAAAACUCAAAGGAAUUGACGGGGACCCGCACAAGCAGCGGAGCGUGUGGUUUAAUUCGAUGCUACACGAAGAACCUUACCUGGGCUUGACAUAUAGGUGGUAGGGAUCCGAAAGGUGACCGACCCCUCGGGGAGCUUAUACAGGUGCUGCAUGGCUGUCGUCAGCUCGUGCCGUGAGGUGUCCGGUUAAGUCCGGUAACGAGCGCAACCCUUGCCGUAUGUUACAUGUGUCAUGCGGGACUGCCGGUACAAAACCGGAGGAAGGUGGGGACGACGUCAAGUCAGCAUGGCCUUUAUGUCCAGGGCUACACACACGCUACAAUGGUCGGCACAAUGGGUAGCAAAGUCGCGAGGCGAAGCCAAUCCUCAAAACCGAUCUCAGUUCGGAUUGCAGUCUGCAACUCGACUGCAUGAAGCCGGAGUUGCUAGUAAACGCGCGUCAGCAAUAGUGCGUCGAAUACGUUCCCGGGUCUUGUACACACCGCCCGUCACGUCAUGGAAGCUGGUAAUACUUGAAGCUGGUAUCUAAACCCUCACGGGAUGGAGCCAGCGAGGGUAGGACCGGUAACUGGGACGAAGUCGUAACAAGGUAAAGGGCGAAUUCGUUUAAACCUGCAGGACUAGUCCC